rnacentral:tRNA from 1 species
GCCUGGGUGGCUCAGUCGGUGAAGCACCUGCCUUCAGCUCAGGUCAUGAUCCUGGAGUCUCAGGAUCAAGUCCUGCAUCAGGCU